AUUGAACGCUGGCGGCAGGCUUAACACAUGCAAGUCGAGCGGGGGAAGGUAGCUUGCUACUGGACCUAGCGGCGGACGGGUGAGUAAUGCUUAGGAAUCUGCCUAUUAGUGGGGGACAACAUCUCGAAAGGGAUGCUAAUACCGCAUACGUCCUCCGGGAGAAAGCAGGGGAUCUUCGGACCUUGCGCUAAUAGAUGAGCCUAAGUCGGAUUAGCUAGUUGGUGGGGUAAAGGCCUACCAGGGCGACGAUCUGUAGCGGGUCUGAGAGGAUGAUCCGCCACACUGGGACUGAGACACGGCCCAGACUCCUACGGGAGGCAGCAGUGGGGAAUAUUGGACAAUGGGGGGAACCCUGAUCCAGCCAUGCCGCGUGUGUGAAGAAGGCCUUAUGGUUGUAAAGCACUUUAAGCGAGGAGGAGGCUACUCUAGUUAAUACCUAGGGAUAGUGGACGUUACUCGCAGAAUAAGCACCGGCUAACUCUGUGCCAGCCGCCGCAGUAA
rnacentral:rRNA from 1 species